CUUCGGGAGACUGAGGCAGGCAGAUUGCUUGAGCUCAGGGGUUCAAGACCAGCCUGAGCAACAUGGCAAAACCCCGUCUCUACAAAAAAAAUUACAAAAAUCAGCCGGGUGGGGUGGUGCAUGUCUGUAGUCUCAGCUACGCGGGAGGCUGAGGUGGGAGGAUCACUUGAGCCCAGGAGGUCGAGGCUGCAGUGAACCAUUAUCAUGUCACUGCACUCCAGCCUGGGUGACAGAGCAAGACUCUGUCUCAAAAUUGUAUGUAUAUAAAAGAAAUAAAGAGGGCAUUCUCCCACCCCCAGGGCCUUGCUUGUGUGGGGUUUCCAAGUUCAGCCAUCAGUAAGAGGGAAGUUCUUCCAGUCUGCAGUGUGAUACUCCUGUUGUGGCGUGGGUCAUCACCCUACUGAUUGCUGGAAAGGCAUCUCAGAGGGUAUCCAGCCACUGGGCUGUCCCUGGGGAUAGGAGGGCAGUCCACACCCUGAUCAGCCCUGGUCUGUCCCCAGCUGGCAGCUGUUGUCCAGAUGUUUUCGAUCCUGGAGGCACUUGGUGAAGAGGCAGCGGGAGCCAGCGGCGGCGGCAGUGGCAUUGGGCCGCUGGCAGCUGUUGCGAAAGGGCCUUCAGGCCCUGUGGCUCUGGGAGGCUCAGCUGGAGGCAGCAUGGGGGCAGUACACAAAGGUUCUGCUGGUCCGGAGCUUCCGAGAGUGGAGAAACCUGGCUUUACAGCAGAAACAAGUGCAGCCCCACAUGCAGGCUGGGCCAGGGUCCCCGCCCUCCAGGAGAGCCCAGGGCAAAGGCCUCUCCUUGGGAAGAAGCACAGUGGUGGACCCCGCCCAGAGAAGCAGGCUGGAACACACCAGGCAGAGAACAGACAGCAGACACGAGAGAUACCAGAUCCUGCAGGCCCUGCAACUGGCUGUGUUCUUCCUGUGGUGCCAGCAGAAGAAACGGGCCAGACAGGAGAGGGAGACUCUGCGGAAGGCCACCAGGGCCACACAGAGGACAGGGAGCUUCCCCCAGGCCUGGCACUCUACUGCUGCAGGUGUAGCCUGGGUGGCCCCACUGAGCCCCCAGCACCAGAGAGCUUGGCUGUGCAGGUGCUUCGGGGCGUGGCAGCAGUUCGUGCAAAGAGGGUCCCGGUACCAAGACCACCUGGCUGACCGCCGGACGGGGACCCUGAGGAAAUGCCUGGAACAGUGGGUGCGGAUGAAGCAGCUCCGGGAAUCAGAUGGGGCAAAGGUGACCCAGUUGUCCCUCUGCCGGCAGAAACCAGGCUCUCUCGGUGCUGGUAUCCCAGAUCCUGCCC
rnacentral:lncRNA from 1 species